rnacentral:tRNA from 1 species
GCCCCUGUUGUCUAAUGUUAUGACGUCAGACUUCUACCUGCGUCUGCAUGGUUAUCUGGAGGUUGCGAGUUCGAGUCUCGCCAGGGGUU